UGCUCUUCUGCCAUGAUCGUGAGGUCUCUCCAGCCAUAGGGAACUUUUUCAUCAGCUUUUCAUGUUUCACUGGGGAGUGCAUCCUCAGAGGUCAUCACACUAUCUUCUUGGAAUUGGAUCUCUUGAAUUUCAGUUUUAGAGGGAAAAACAACAUGCACUAUUCAUCUAUCUGUCUAUCUAUCUAUUUCAUCAUUAUUUUUUACCUCAUGGAUUGAAGCAAAUUUUAAAGGAAAAAAGAAUGUUAAUAAGAAAGAGCAGCACUUACUAUCAGGGAGGCACCUCACGAGCAUUGUGAACACUCAGAAUCUUCCAGGUGCAUUUUUAUAAUGACACUCUAUCAAGCCACUGAGAUCAACUGCCAGAGCUCAAUCUGCUACAGGAAUCUUGCUAGAAGAAAAGAAUGUUUCAUCAGAGACAGUCAUUCAUCCCGGCCCACACCUCUCCUGCUCUGAUCUUCCACUGUUAAAAGCAUAACACACUGGAGGAAGAUUGUGCUAUAUUUCAUGCGUGCUCUGCGCCACCACCAAGGGACAGUCCCAUCUGUUAUUUGCUCUCAGCUUUGCUUACUGAUAAAACAGGAAGGACAGCUUGCUGAUGGGCUCUUUGAAGCAAAUGGAUCCUCUCUUUCCUGCAAUUAAUGUUUAUAAAUUAUUUCUACAGUAGACAGCAUGUAUGGUACCAUGAUUUCAAAAUUAGUUUCAAUAAAUUAAGGGCCUGCAUUCAUUACAAGAGGAGCUUGAUUACAGUGCAACUCAUGGAGUUUACUGUUGCGCUCUACCUUUUGUGAAAAUUGCUGCAUGAAAUUAAACACUCUCAUUAAUUUUGUUGAUUA